UACAGAGGGCGCGAGCGUUGUCCGGAAUCACUGGGCGUAAAGGGCGCGUAGGUGGCCACCAUAAGGCCGCGGUGAAAGUUCGGGGCUCAACCCCGGAUCGGCCGCGGCGACUGUGGGGCUCGGGUACUGUAGAGGCAGAUGGAAUUCCGGGUGUAGUGGUGGAAUGCGUAGAGAUCCGGAGGAACACCAGCGGCGAAGGCGGCGUCCUGGACUGGUACUGACGCUCAGGAGCGAAAGCGUGGGGAGCGAACAGGG
rnacentral:rRNA from 1 species